rnacentral:rRNA from 1 species
AUUGAACGCUGGCGGCAGGCCUAACACAUGCAAGUCGAACGAGUGGCGGACGGGUGAGUAAUGUCUGGGAAACUGCCCGAUGGAGGGGGAUAACUACUGGAAACGGUAGCUAAUACCGCAUACCAUCGGAUGUGCCCAGAUGGGAUUAGCUUGUAGGUGGGGUAACGGCUCACCUAGGCGACGAUCCCUAGCUGGUCUGAGAGGAUGACCAUGCAAACUGGAACUGAGACACGGUCAAGAAGCUGACGGGAGGCAGAAGUGGGGAAUAUGGAAAAAUGGGCGCAAGCCUGAGGCAGCCAGGCCGCGGGGAUGAAGAAGGCCGUCGGGUUGUAAAGUACUUUCAGCGGGGAGGCGGUACCCGCAGAAGAAGCACCGGCUAACUCCGUGCCAGCAGCCGCGGUAAUAC